UUAAACUUGAGAGUUUGAUCAUGGCUCAGAACGUACGCUGGCGGCACGCCUAACACAUGCAAGUCGAACGAAGUAGCAAUACUUAGUGGCAGACGGGUGAGUAACAUGUAGGUAUCUACCCUAUGGCCUGGAAUAACACGAGGAAACUUGUGCUAAUACUGGAUAAGUCUUUACGGAGAAAGCUUUAUGCACCAUUGGAUGAGCCUGCACUUGAUUAGUUUGUUGGUGGGGUAAUGGCCUACCAAGACUUUGAUCAAUAGCUGAUUUGAGAGGAUGAUCAGCCACAUUGGGACUGAGACACGGCCCAAACUCCUACGGGAGGCAGCAGUGGGGAAUCUUGCACAAUGGAGGAAACUCUGAUGCAGCGAUGCCGCGUGAGUGAAGAAGGCCUUUGGGUUGUAAAGCUCUUUCGUCGGGGAAGAAAAUGACUGUACCCGAAUAAGAAGGUCCGGCUAACUUCGUGCCAGCAGCCGCGGUAAUACGAAGGGACCUAGCGUAGUUCGGAAUUACUGGGCUUAAAGAGUUCGUAGGUGGUUGAAAAAGUUGGUGGUGAAAUCCCAGAGCUUAACUCUGGAACUGCCAUCAAAACUUUUCAGCUAGAGUAUGAUAGAGGAAAGCAGAAUUUCUAGUGUAGAGGUGAAAUUCGUAGAUAUUAGAAAGAAUACCAAUUGCGAAGGCAGCUUUCUGGAUCAUUACUGACACUGAGGAACGAAAGCAUGGGUAGCGAAGAGGAUUAGAUACCCUCGUAGUCCAUGCCGUAAACGAUGUGUGUUAGACGUUGGAAAUUUAUUUUCAGUGUCGCAGUGAAAGCGAUAAACACACCGCCUGGGGAGUACGACCGCAAGGUUAAAACUCAAAUGAAUUGACGGGGACCCGCACAAGUAGUGGAGCAUGUGGUUUAAUUCGAAGAUACGCGCAGAACCUUACCAACACUUGACAUGUUCGUCGCGACUUUAAGAGAUUAAAGUUUUCGGUUCGGCCGGACGAAACACAGGUGCUGCAUGGCUGUCGUCAGCUCGUGUCGUGAGAUGUUGGGUUAAGUCCCGCAACGAGCGCAACCCUCACUUUUAGUUGCCAUCAUUAAGUUGGGCACUCUGAAAGAACUGCCAGUGAUAAGCUGGAGGAAGGUGGGGAUGACGUCAAGUCCUCAUGGCCCUUACGUGUUGGGCUACACACGUGCUACAAUGGUAUAUACAACAGGAAGCAAAACGGCGACGUUAAGCAAAUCCUCAAAAGAUACCUCAGUUCGGAUUGCACUCUGCAACUCGAGUGCAUGAAGCUGGAAUUACUAGUAAUCGUGGAUCAGCGUGCCACGGUGAAUGCGUUCCCGGGUCUUGUACACACCGCCCGUCACACCAUGGGAGUUGGUUCUACCUUAAGGCAAGGUUUCAAACCCUUGACCACGGUAUAGUCAGCGACUGGGGUGAAGUCGUAACAAGGUAGCCGUAGGGGAACCUGCGGCUGGAUUACCUCCUUUCUAAGGA
rnacentral:rRNA from 1 species